rnacentral:rRNA from 1 species
UGGGGAAUAUUGCACAAUGGGCGCAAGCCUGAUGCAGCGACGCCGCGUGAGGGAUGACGGCCUUCGGGUUGUAAACCUCUUUCAGCAGGGACGAAGCGCAAGUGACGGUACCUGCAGAAGAAGCACCGGCCAACUACGUGCCAGCAGCCGCGGUAAUACGUAGGGUGCGAGCGUUGUCCGGAAUUACUGGGCGUAAAGAGCUCGUAGGCGGUUUGUCGCGUCGUCUGUGAAAUUCUGCAGCUUAACUGCAGGCGUGCAGGCGAUACGGGCAGACUUGAGUACUACAGGGGAGACUGGAAUUCCUGGUGUAGCGGUGAAAUGCGCAGAUAUCAAGAGGAACACCGGUGGCGAAGGCGGGUCUCUGGGUAGUAACUGACGCUGAGGAGCGAAAGCGUGGGUAGCGAACAGGAUUAGAUACCCUGGUAGUCCACGCCGUAAACGUUGGGCGCUAGAUGUGGGGACCAUUCCACGGUUUCCGUGUCGCAGCUAACGCAUUAAGCGCCCCGCCUGGGGAGUACGGCCGCAAGGCUAAAACUCAAAUGAAUUGAC